rnacentral:misc_RNA from 1 species
GAUGAAGAACGUAGCAAAAUGCGAUACUUGGUGUGAAUUGCAGAAUCCCGUGAACCAUCGAGUUUUUGAACGCAAGUUGCGCCCGAAGCCUUUUGGCCGAGGGCACGUCUGCCUGGGCGUCACGCAUCGCGUCGCCCCCAACAAAUUCUCCGUCAGGGGAGCUUGUGUUUCGGGGGCGGAUACUGGUCUCCCGUGCUCAUGGCGCGGUUGGCCGAAAUAGGAGUCCCUUCGAUGGACGCACGAACUAGUGGUGGUCGUAAAAACCCUCGUCUUUUGUUUCGUGCCGUUAGUCGCGAGAGAAGCUCUUCAAAAACCCCAGCGCGUCGUCUCUUGACGGCGCUUCGACCGCGACCCCAGGUCAGGCGGGACUACCCGCUGAGUUUAAGCAUAUCAAUAAGCGGAGGA